ensembl:lncRNA
GUUUAGUGACAGAAGCUCCAUGUAUAUUGAGGAUAUUUAAGGUGACAUCCAAACUUGAAAAGCAUCAGGUUGCUGUAGCCCAGUUUUAGAUGAGUCACAUUCCAUCAUGUACUAAGGCAUCUGCAUUCCUUUCAAACAAACUUGUUUCAAGUUUCUUAUACACAAAGGACCUUUUGUGUAUAUUUGGCUGGAUUUCAAGUUUUGCAGUAUUUUAUGUCUGUACACUUGGCUACUCUAUCUCCAUCUUUUCUGUAACAAUUCACAACAUAUUAGAAACAUUUCACCCCACGCUGAGUAUAUCUAAGAUAGAGUAUCAUACUGUGUGACUUUGUGAAACUAGACUUUGGAUUAAGAAAUGUAUAUUGUCUCUGGAUGGUAUUUUUGCAUUGCACACUCCAGCAUAACAUAAAUGUAGGAGUUGACAAAUACUGCUUACAUUUUAAUAAGAUCAUUCAUCAGAGGAAAUCAUGCAUGUGCUUUGUAAAUAGACUGUGGAUAACUAAACAGAUUGCAGGAAUAUGUUGGAUUUGAUUUGGGCAGUGGCCACAGAUAUUUGACUUCUAUAUUAGUGUCUGUGAGUCAAGUCAGGUAAUAAACCAAAAUAGGUAUAGAACUGAUAUUUUUAAGUCUUGAAAGAUGCUUUCAAGGCAGAGUAAAAUAUUGAAGAUUUACAUGCUGUAUACAAGCAGUAAAAUGUAAGCUGCUUUUUACUCUCAGUUCUCCAGAAGUGAUGGCAUUUUUUCAGUGAAUACAAUGCUGUUGGAAAAUUUAAAAAAAAAAGAUCUUGGAAAACGAAGACGGGUCUUGUUUAAAAUGUCUCUUCAGCUUUGGCAUAUUUCAAACCUGAAACAACUAUUGAAAGCAUUACUGUGUUUUGUAGCCUACAUUCCACAACAGCUCUAUUAUUCAGGUAAACCACUUGAAAUAAGAUGUUUGGGACCUUUACUGUAAUAUUUUUCAUUAAGGAACAAUAUCCUAUUUUGUAAAGCAUUUCCUUAUGUGUGACUUUAAACUGUAAAAUUAAACAUUGGUUUUGUGGUUUCAGUGGGCAUAAUAAAUGUAAAUUGUAAAAUAGGUUAAAGUAUGUACGGCAUAUAAUAUGUUUUAGAGGUAGAAACUACUGUCUGUUCUCAUAACAGCAAUACGACCAAGCUAGGUCUUAAUGAAGCCCCAGGUUCUCUAUAAUCUCUACCAUCUCUCAUCCACUUUGGCACAGGCCUUUAAUACUUUGUCUGUCUUAAACUAUAAUGAACUUUUGCUUCAAGUUCUUCUUACCAGACCAUCAGCCCCUACAUCUGUCUAGUAUCAAACUUCUGAUGUUAAAUUGGAACCACAAGCAACAUAACCUACCUACUUUAUCCUUACUUUUAUAAAGAUAAAUGUAUUCUAGCUAUAAAACUAAAAAGCCAAAAAAAUAAUGCAUGCACGGAAAUUUAAAAGGCAUUAACAUUCACUAGCAAAAGGCUAUUUAUUUGGUAUCAAAUUUAUAGCAUUAAGAUUCUGAAGGACAUAAAUUCCUUCUAAAACUGAAAUCAUUACUAGUUAGUAUACAUUGCAAACC